UCCUACGGGAGGCAGCAGUGGGGAAUUUUCCGCAAUGGGCGAAAGCCUGACGGAGCAAUACCGCGUGAGGGAGGAAGGCUCUUGGGUCGUAAACCUCUUUUCUCAGGGAAGAAAAAAAUGACGGUACCUGAGGAAUAAGCAUCGGCUAACUCCGUGCCAGCAGCCGCGGUAAUACGGAGGAUGCAAGCGUUAUCCGGAAUGAUUGGGCGUAAAGCGUCCGCAGGUGGCUAUGUAAGUCUGCUGUUAAAGAGUCUAGCUCAACUAGAUAAAAGCAGUGGAAACUACAUGGCUAGAGUGCGUUCGGGGCAGAGGGAAUUCCUGGUGUAGCGGUGAAAUGCGUAGAGAUCAGGAAGAACACCGGUGGCGAAAGCGCUCUGCUAGGCCGCAACUGACACUGAGGGACGAAAGCUAGGGGAGCGAAUGGGAUUAGAUACCCCAGUAGUCCUAGCCGUAAACGAUGGAUACUAGGCGUGGCUUGUAUCGACCCGAGCCGUGCCGUAGCUAACGCGUUAAGUAUCCCGCCUGGGGAGUACGCACGCAAGUGUGAAACUCAAAGGAAUUGACGGGG
rnacentral:rRNA from 2 species